rnacentral:rRNA from 1 species
GUAGGCACCAAGCGUUGUCCGGAUUUAUUGGGCGUAAAGAGCUCGUAGGCGGUUCGGUAAGUCGGGUGUGAAAACUCUGGGCUCAACCCAGAGAGGCCACCCGAUACUGCCGUGACUAGAGUGCGGUAGGGGAGUGGGGAAUUCCUGGUGUAGCGGUGAAAUGCGCAGAUAUCAGGAGGAACACCAGUGGCGAAGGCGCCACUCUGGGCCGUAACUGACGCUGAGGAGCGAAAGCGUGGGUAGCAAACAGGAUUAGAUACCCUGGUAGUCCACGCCGUAAACGUUGGGCACUAGGUGUGGGUCUCAACCAACGAGAUCCGCGCCGUCGCUAACGCAUUAAGUGCCCCGCCUGGGGAGUACGGCCGCAAGGCUA